UCUUUAUUAUCUAUAAUUAAUCUAUGCUAACAUUUAAAAAGGUCAGGCAUAUUGGGGCACACCUGUAAUCCCAGCAUUCAGGACGUGGAGUCAGGAGGAUCAGGAGUUCAAGGUCAGGUUUACCAUAGAGUGAGUUUAAGAUCAGCCUGGCCUACAUGAGAUCUGUCAUGGGGAUCACUUGGGCACCUUUUUCUCCAUGGUGACCGGGCCAGCUGUGGGUCGAGUGUACACGUGCCACAGGACAGGAGGGCAGGCAGCCAGUGGCCCUUGAGUGAGGCUGGUGCAUUCAUUUUAGGUCCGUUUGGGAAAAGCCCUGGGCCACAUCCAGGCAACUGCAAGGCCUCUGGGCCCUGUGUCCACCUGCUGCAUUUUGGUCCCAUCCCAAGGCUGAGGCAAAGGCACAAGGCCAGCUGUUUGCCAAGCUGCUGGUUCCAGCUUCCAAGCCAACUGCUGGUAGGUGGAAAGGAACGUGUGGCUACCGACCUCUUGGCCAGUAAUGAAAAGAAGUAAUGUCUCUUCACCACAGAGACAAAGAGAGACUGUUAGGUGUCCAAACCCAUGAGUUGUCACAGCAAGCUUCAUUGCGAUCCCCAGUAGAGACACACACACCUUGGCCUCUGGCACCUGUCAGUGUGUCCAUUCACAGAUCUCUAGCCGAUGUGCUUGUGUUGAAUCUGGAAAGAGUGAGUCCUGGAUUUAAGGAGACCCUGAAUGCAGUUCCAAGUGUCCUUGAAAGGAGGUCAUGUGGAGUCAGGACAGGAAGGCUGAAGAGAUAUGAUCCCUCCCUCCAGGCAAGGCAUGUCUGGAGAUGCAGGCAGCAGGAAGCAGCGUCUCCCAGCCAGUGCUAUGAGCACUGCCUUGCUCACAGCUGGAUUUUGAACUCUGACUCCCAGAACUAUGAGAAGAGAUUUGUCUGUGUGCCGCUACCUGGUUUCUGGGCCUUUUUGACACACACAGCCCCAGGAUGGUCAUUCAGCUCAGGCUUCAGGCCAGGCCAGGGGAUACCUGCUCUGUUGGUCACACUCCAGUGCAGAAGAACAAGCCUCUACCUCCUGGGAGUCUCCAGGCCUGACCACACACACUGGGCAGCUCUAGAUACUCCAUAUCAGGAGUUCCUCGUGUCCUUGGUAGAAAUGCGACAAUUAGAGCCCCGGCAGGUCCCUGAGUAUAAAGUUGAGGACUCCAUUGGAUUAAUAAGCAGAAGGGUGGGUGCUAGACGGGGAGGAGGGAAGAAGGAGCACUCUAGAUGGGGAGGAGGAAGGAACACUCUAGAUGGAAAGGAGCACUCUAGAUGGGGAGGACAGAAGAAGGAGCACUCUAGAUGGGGAAAAGAGAAGAAGGAGCACUCUAGAUGUUGGAGAAAAGGGAAGAAGGAGCACUCUAGAUGGGGAGGAGGUAGGAGCACUCUAGAUGG
rnacentral:lncRNA from 1 species